CUUACUUAUCGUUUUAGAAAGGAAUUAUGAACGAGCUCUCGACUAAAAUAAAGAGGGGCCGAGAGUUUAAGAGAAAGGUUGUCAUAACUGUUGAGCCGAUGGUUUUUAAUUACGAGCUCAGCGAUCCAGAAGUGAUGAAAAUUGGGACCCCAUUUGUGAAAAACUCUCAAAUAAAAACUAGACUUGACAUGACAGAAUGGUGCAAGUUGACCAAAGAUCCUGCGUAUCAGUUGGUGAAAAAUGCCGAGACGCAGAAUUAUGCCAUCAAACCGAACAAUCUAUUUGUCUAUGACGAUCAAGAGUCGUUGACGGCGAAGAUUCAAUAUGUAAUGGAAUUCGGAGCAGGAGUUGGGAUGCACAGUCUUGUCUAUGAUGAUGACGACGGAAAUGGAUUGUGUGGCUGCGGCAGGAUGCCUUUCUUAAGACAUGUCGUCAACAUACUCAAAAUGAACUGCGAACCAAUCCCGUGUUUUUAAUAUUUAAUUUAAUAUUUA